CUUCCGGAGGCCGCCGAAGUGCGCCCUUUUCCCUGUCUGUCGCUUUCGGAGUGCUCCGAGCGAGAUUCAAAGAGGCAUUCGCCACGGGAGGGGUGUUUUACUACACUCUGACCCCCCCCCGGUGCCCCGCCACUCCGGCCCUUGCCCUUUGACCCUGCUCUCGCGGCGGGGUGAGAGGUCGGUGGCCAUCUUGUGGCGGCGGUGCGGGCGGCUGUUACUGCGGAGACCCAUCCCCUACCCCUCCUGGCCCCCCGGCCGUCUGUCAGUCAUAAAGAGUCCCGCAGGCCGCCAGGUGAGGUUCCGGCCUCGUGCCAUCGCUCUCCCCGCCGCACUGGGCGGCCCAGGCCGAUCCCUGCCGGGCCUCACCGCCGCCACCAUGUCCUCCUUCUCCGAGUCGGCGCUGGAGAAGAAGCUCUCAGAGCUGAGCAACUCUCAGCAGAGCGUGCAGACCCUCUCCCUGUGGCUCAUCCACCACCGCAAGCACGCGGGACCCAUCGUCUCGGUGUGGCACCGCGAGCUCCGCAAAGCCAAAUCAAAUAGAAAGCUUACUUUUCUGUACUUAGCCAAUGAUGUCAUUCAAAACAGUAAAAGGAAAGGACCUGAAUUCACUAGAGAAUUUGAAUCUGUCCUUGUGGAUGCUUUUUCUCACGUUGCCAGAGAGGCAGAUGAAGGCUGUAAAAAACCUUUAGAAAGAUUGCUGAACAUCUGGCAAGAAAGAAGUGUGUAUGGCGGCGAGUUCAUACAGCAGCUGAAGCUGUCUAUGGAGGACUCCAAGAGCCCUCCCCCCAAAGCAACAGAGGAGAAGAAAUCUCUAAAGCGAACUUUUCAGCAAAUACAAGAGGAGGAGGAUGACGACUACCCUGGAAGCUACUCUCCCCAAGAUCCUUCUGCAGGACCCCUCUUGACUGAGGAACUAAUCAAAGCUUUGCAGGACCUGGAAAAUGCUGCAUCAGGGGAUGCUACUGUCCGACAGAAAAUUGCUUCUUUACCCCAGGAAGUGCAAGAUGUUUCUCUUUUGGAAAAAAUAACAGACAAAGAGGCAGCUGAACGUCUUUCAAAAACAGUAGAUGAAGCAUGUCUGUUACUAGCCGAAUAUAACGGGCGCCUGGCGGCAGAACUGGAAGACCGACGCCAGCUGGCUCGGAUGUUGGUGGAGUACACCCAGAACCAGAAAGAUGUUUUGUCAGAAAAGGAGAAAAAACUAGAAGAAUAUAAACAGAAGCUUGCUCGGGUAACCCAGGUCCGCAAGGAACUCAAGUCCCAUAUUCAGAGCUUGCCAGACCUCUCGUUGCUGCCCAACGUCACAGGGGGCUUGGCCCCCCUGCCCUCUGCUGGUGACCUGUUUUCAACUGACUAAGAGAGAAAAAAAUGGAAAUGAAAGAAAAAUGUUUUCAAAGCAACAAAAGCUGAAAUAAUUCAUCACCAGUAGACCUGAACAAUAAGAAAUGGUAUCUGAAGAAGAAUGAUACCAAGAUAGAAAUCUGGAUCUACACAAAGGAAUGGAGAGCACUGAAAAUAACUCCAUGGGGAAGACCGGUUGUGCAUCUUUGGAACCAGUAGUUCCAGAGCUAAGAAAAGAAUUUACCGGAAAGGAGACUUUGCCAGCAGCUUCUGGAGUUUUUGUGCCAAGAUCUUAGGGCUGAUGGAGGUGAUCAGUUAGCAUUCGUCAAGUGCCAAUGGUGAAGGUAAGUGGGGCUUAUGACAGAUGGGAAAUGGCAGGUGAGGGGGUCACACAGAGGCCUGGCUUCUUGUCCUGUUCUCACUCACUCUGCAUCCCGGGAAGUCCUUCUCUGUCCCUGUGUUUCAGUUUCCUCUGAGGAAAUUGUCUGGCUGGUUUCUGAGCCCCCUUUGAGCCCUGGAGUUCUGUGAUUCUAACAAAUUAUGUUUCAGAGUUAUAGUUUUAUCAUCUUCCCAAGGACUUUAAUUUUUUUUUAAUUCAACAGGUGUUUCUUAAGCACCCCCUGGUGAUAGGCACUGUGGAUGCAGCUAGCAAAACCAGAAACAAUCCCUGUCCUCAUGGCACUUAGAGUCUUGGGGGGAGACAGACAGCGACCAAUCAGGUAAAGGCACAGUGGGCCCGGCAAAGUGCUAUGACCAGAGGAUGAAUUUUCAACAGGUGACGUGAACAUGGGUUGCGGCAUCUUCCAGAGCUCACGGCCCCCGGUUUGCCAUGUUGAGAGUCCAGAGGGAGGUGCCGAGGGGCUACCCCAAUCCACAGAGACCACCAAUAAUCGCAGACAACAUGUAUGCAGCACCUUCUGGAUGAUGAACCCUUACAUUCACCAUCUCGUUUAAUCCUCACAAUAACCCUACGAAAGUAGGAAGGCCUAUUAGCCCCAUUUUGCAGGUGAGAAAACCAAGGCUCAAGGUCAGGUAGCUAGAGAGCACAGGACUGACCCAGGUCUGCAUGCUUAUGUGCUCUACCUCCUGGGCCCCUCUGGUGAGGAUUAUGGAUGGUGGCUGGGUGGUAUGGGGGAGCUGCUUUGGGGGAUAAGGUGGCAAAGCUGAGAAGUCCAGGCCCUCCAUCCCUGCUCCAGUGAAAGCAGCUGCACUGUUCCGUGUUGUGCCUUUGUGUUGUGCCUUUAAGGGACUAUGUUAAAUUUCACUGGAAAAACAGUUACAAAAACCAAACCAAACCAAACCAAACCAGAUGGCAUGGUGUUUCAGAGUGUGUGGGCUGAACUGAGAAAGUCCCAGUCCCAAGUCCCCACUUAGUGACCUGGGGAGCUAAUAAUAGGUCCUACCUCAUGGGGACUCAUGGGGGAUUCCAUGAAUCAAGCCCGUAAAGCCUUAGCACGGUGCUGGGAACCGAGUAAAUACUCAGUGGGGUGCUAUUUGCAAGGAAAGAUUUGCCUUUAUCAAAGGGGUCUGUUGUUGGAAAAAAACCAUGACUCUAGGCAGCGGGGAGACUUUGAAGGCUUUGAACAGGGUGAACCCACUCAAGUUUGUGCUUGUGGAGAAGCCCCUAGGCCGGCACCUACAGCCAUUGGGGGAGCUGUUCCGUUUGCCACAGAACUUGAACUUGGUAGAUAAGUCUGGUGGGGCCGGGGGCGGGGGCAGGAGGCAGGGCAAGAGAAAUGCCGUUGUGGGUUUUCUCUGAAAGGAAAGCCUAGGAGAAGGAAGUGGACAGCGAUAAGAUUAGGGAUUGUUACAACAUGUUCUGGAGCCAUAAAUCCUGGUUUAUUUUACCCACUUUACCGAAGGAUUAAGUUGAUUCUGAGAGGAACCAGAAGAAAGGAGAGAGGCUGCCUCCCAGGGACAAGUGUGAGAAGAGCUGAGGCCCAGCCUGGGGAGAACCAGCCUCUCACUCUGAGCCCAGUUUCUUUCUCCAACACCCCUGGACACAGGCCAUCCUGUCCCUGCUUGAACCCUUCCAGUGACGGGAAGCUCACUCACACACAGGGUAGCCUGUUCCGACAGGUUUAUCUCUGAACGUUCAGAAGACCUUCUUGUCCCCCAAGUGCAGAUCUUCCCCCCAGUAGCUUCUUUCAAUAAUUCAGUGGGUGAUUAUAUGGAAACAUAUUUUUAAUAUGUUUAUUUUGAAUCCAAUAAAAAUGCUACAUUUUCUUGUUAAUUUAGAUAACAUUGUUGUAGAUCAUUUGGGGUUUCUCUAUAUAUACUAAUUAUAGCACCUUUGAAAGAUGACUUUUAUUUCUUUUCCAACUCUUACAUCUUUUAUUUCUUUUUCUCGCCUCACUGCACUGGAUAAGACUGCCAGUAAAAUGUUGAAUAAAAUGGGUGCAGUGGGCAUCCUUGACGUCCUGAUCUCAAAAGGAAAAGCUUGCAAUAUUUUACCAUUAAUUAUGGUAGCCACAGACAUAAUCUUUAUCAAGUUAUGGUAAUUCCCUUCUGUUCAUAAUGUUGUAGAUUAUCAUUUUUUUUAGUUUUAAAAUCAUGACUAAAUAUAAAUUUUUUAUCAAAUGGUUCUCGGCGUGUAGUUUUUGUCCUUUAAUCAGUUUAUGUGCUGAAUUGUAUGAAUAGAUUUUCUAUUGUUAAAUCAACCUUGUGUUCCUGGGAUUAGCCCACUUUUGUGGUAUCCUUUUAUAUAGUGAUUUAUGUGGCUAACACUUUAUUAAGGAGUUUUCAUUUAUAUUUAUGAGUAAAGUUGGCCUGUAACUUUCUUUUCUUGCUGUAUCCUUUUGCUGUUUUGGUAGGCAGGUUAUGUUACUCUCAUAAAUGAAUUGGGGAUUAUUUACUGUUUCUCUGUUCUCUAGAAGCUAAAAUUGUUUCUUCUUUGAAUGUUGGAUAGAAUUGGCCAGUGAAACCAUCUAGACUUAAAGUUUUCUUAAUGAAAGGGAUUUUCAGUGUUCUUAAUUAUUAGAGGACUCUCUAGGUUUUCUAUUUUGUCUUGAGUCAAAAUUGGUAUAUUACACCUUUCCAGGUUGUCCGUUUCAUUUAAACUU